AUGUCAAAGGUAAAGCUAUGUACUUGUUCAUCAAUGUCAUUUACUUGUUUCUUAAUCUCGUGGCUUCCCUGAAGGAGCCUACUGCUCACUAGCCAUCUCGAAGGUAGGGAGGGUCAACUCGCACUACGAACCGAGACCGUCUGCCGGGGCCGGAAAAUAGGCAAUCCCUUGGGACCCAAAAUAGGCAAUCCCACGUGACCAACAUCCGGAGCGCACUACUUGUGUGGGGCUUCCAUCACAAGAUUUAGAAACAGACCGUGAGCAUGAUCCAAUCCUCGUCUCGAGAAUACCCUAUUCUCUAGGGUUACAAUCAUCAUAUAGUCCAUAGGUUUCACAUACACUACGACUCAUAUGUGUCAUUUGUUCUUUUGCUUACUAUCAACUAAAUUGCCACUCGUCCAUUGUUUACUAUCGACUAGAUGCCACUCGUUCUUUGUUUAACAUUAGACCAACCAUUGAGCCCAUCUCUUUCUCUGCACUAUAGGAUUCACAAGUCUCGACCCAAUCCUUAUCAAUCCACUAUAUCAAGUAUCCAAUACAUGCUACGAUAUCAUCAAGGAAAGCAUAAGGAAAGGCAAUGCACAAUCAUCCUAUAAUGCAAUAAUACAAGAUGCAAGAAUCGACAUGUACUAAGACAUAGAAGGGAGCCCGAUUGCUUCGGGAUGGACACCACCCACCUCUUGG
rnacentral:lncRNA from 1 species